UACGUAGGGUGCGAGCGUUGUCCGGAAUUACUGGGCGUAAAGCGCACGUAGGCGGAUCAGCAAGUUAGGGGUGAAAUCCCGGGGCUCAACCCCGGAACUGCCUUUAAAACUGUUGGUCUGGAGGUCGAGAGAGGUGAGUGGAAUUCCGAGUGUAGAGGUGAAAUUCGUAGAUAUUCGGAGGAACACCAGUGGCGAAGGCGGCUCACUGGCUCGAACCUGACGCUGAGGUGCGAAAGCGUGGGGAGCAAACAGGG
rnacentral:rRNA from 1 species